rnacentral:misc_RNA from 1 species
CGCCGCGGUAAUUCCAGCUCCAAUAGCGUAUAUUAAAGUUGUUGCAGUUAAAAAGCUCGUAGUUGAAUUUCGGGAUUGACGUGAUGGUCAUGCCUUAAGGGGUAUGAACUGUUACUGUUGAUUUCUCACCUUCUGGAGAAACUUGAUGUCCUUUAUUGGGUGUCUUGCGGAUCCAGGACCUUUACCUUGAAAAAAUUAGAGUGUUUAAAGCAGGCAUUUUUGCUCGAAUACAUUAGCAUGGAAUAAUAGAAUAGGACGGCAUGGUUCUAUUUUGUUGGUUUCUAGGAUCACCGUAAUGAUUAAUAGGGAUAGUUGGGGGCAUUAGUAUUCAAUUGUCAGAGGUGAAAUUCUUGGAUUUAUUGAAGACUAACUACUGCGAAAGCAUUUGCCAAGGAUGUUUUCAUUAAUCAAGAACGAAAGUUAGGGGAUCGAAGACGAUCAGAUACCGUCGUAGUCUUAACCAUAAACUAUGCCGACUAGGAAUCAGACGAUGUUAAUUUUUUAAUGACUCGUUUGGCACCUUACG